rnacentral:lncRNA from 15 species
UGCCUUUGCAACAUGAUAUCAAAUAACUGAACACACAAGUUACAAAGAAAAUAAAAUAAUUGUUGAAAAUCCUUUUGAUAACAGAAAUACAGAUUGUGAAAAACAGGUUACAACAUAAGGAGUAAGGUCAGGCAAGUUUAAUCUGAAUGAUUGUAAGACAUGACAUCCACAUUAACCUGAGUUACAGUCUUCAACACAGUGUGGGGCAUUUCAUUUAGGUACACACAAAACUCUGAGGCCUGACAGUGCACAAGCCCUUGUCCCAGUUAACAAAGAACAUCUCUCACACUACAUAAAAUCCCAAAUCCCCUUGCCCCAUAUUUUAUUAAGUAAAAAAAAGUCAACAUCACACCACCACCAAGGCCACUGUUCCACUUAGCUAAAUAAAAAAGCUGAAAGCCCUUGGCCUACAUUUUCAAUGUUUAACACAGCUAUAGAGAGUGUGUAGCUAUUACUUUCAUUCCCAAGGACCUCUGGCUUCUUCCAGGGAGUCCCCCAGACACAAGGAGGAUUAGUUUAAUUUCACUAUCAUGCAUUCACUUAAAGAUAGCACUGUAUGAAAGAGUGUGAAAUAACUAUUCUCAACGGUUUUAAUUCUCUGUGCACUAGCAGCAGACAGGAAAAAAGAAACUUCUCAUGUAGAGGUUACUCAGACAAAACCCUAACAGGCUGGCAUCCUUGGCCUCGAUGACAUGACAGACUCACAGUUUCACAGUAAUUGCCUUUCCUGGUCACUGCAGCUAGGGGGAGGUGUAGGUUUAUGGCUGAGCUACAUUCUGCUGCUGUGUUGUCUUGGUUAAUCUCUUCACUGCAGCAGGAGGAGGAAGGAAGCAGGGAAGUGAAAAAUAAAGAGGCCGGCUGGGCAUAACAGUAAGAUUGGAUGUGACUGAAAUGCUGCUGAAAUGUUAAUGUGAAAUAUCUGCAUAAAUUAUUUACUGGUUUGUCACUACACACAUGCAAAUCUCAUUAUGGGCCAGCUGCUCUCAUCAGAAGAAGAGCUUCCUCAAGUGAAGGAUGCAAUUGGUUCUCUCCUCUACGAUACCAUGUUGGAAGGCGGCGCCGUACCUGACCUUGGAGUCGUCCACCCUCUCCUCCUGGCCAAUCACGGCGAGAGCUUCGACUCCUGCGCCGGCCUCCAGGAACAACUGAAACAGCUGCAGGCCGACAUUGGGAACAAGGCACCCACAUACCUGAGGGAUCUGAUUGGCCGGUUGUCGACCUUCUCAGAUGAGCCCCGCCUGGCUGGGCUGGUGGGAUUAGUGGUUACUAUGGUGAUGGAUAUGGCCUACACAUCCUCAAAGCGGUCAUCAGGUGCGAAAGGGAAGUCAGCUGGGUCAUCAUCAUGCCAGCAGAGAGUCUGGGAGCUCCAGGAAGUGAUGGAGGAGUAUCUGAAGCGCUGUAGGAUCAACCUGAACGACAAAAACAAGCUGAUCCAGGACUCUGUCAGACUUGAGGCCCAGCUCAGUCUCACCCUCACCCAGCUAAAGACCUGUCUGCUGGGGGGAGGCUGUGACUCCAGGUCUCUAAGGCACUGGGCGAGCGGGGCAGCGUUUAACACCCAGAUGUUGGUUCACCUGGCUGCUCUUGAGGGUAAGGCUGAGCCCCUGGCUGCAAGGGCAGCACUGGAGCAAUACAAGGAAGACCUGGCACAGAUCAUACCUGCUUACAGGCGUUAUAAGUCUAAUACAGUGUGUGUGGUGAAAUGUCGCGGGGGUCUUCAGGCUUCAUGCGACCCCUCCAGUGAGGUGUCAGAGGAAGGAUCCAUGACGGGACUCACUGUGACAGACAGAGAAACAGGAAUGAGUGUGACCAUCCCUCUAACUACCAUGGAGGCAGAGACAGGGAGAAGAAGGAGAGUCUCUGGGCCUGAUACCACCUCUGCAACUGUGUCCUGCUCCAUUAACCUGGACCUAAUCACCUCAGAUCAGUACGCCCAGGCAUACCUAGACCAUUUGUUCUCUGACAAGGGACCUGUGGCAGAGCUGGAGAACUACUUUAACAGGGCUAGUGACAAUCUGAGAAGUCUAAGAACUCAACCAGGAUACAAAAACAAGACAUGGGUGAGAAAUGGGAAAGAACAAAGUGUUGGAGUGCAUCUAAAAGACCGGGCAGAGGGCGUCAAUGGAGAGCUAAGAGUGGACAGGGGAAAAGCUGAUAAACAGGACGAAAUGGAAGGGAGACGAGAAGAGGUGGAGGAACGCGAGCGGAGAGAUGAAAGUUUGAAACUGAGUAUUGUUGAAACACAGGCGGAAUAGAGACUCGAUCACAGUCUUCACAGUGCGACAAGUGCAUGAAAGCCAUGACUUGACAGCAGCAAUCAUAAGAUGUCAGUCAUAUACUGAAGAAAAACAGAAUGGUAGUUUUACUGAUUUGUCUGCAAUGCUAUAUACGACAAAGUGACACUAGCCUUUGCCAAAUAUGAAUUAUGGCUUUAUAUGUCAUUUCUAAUCUGUUUCACACAUUUUACUGACACAUAAUCGUUAGUCAAUUUCAUGUUUACAAGCUGCAAGAAAAGUGUUACCUGCAAAGCUAAAUACUUGGGCACGCAGCAUGUGUGUCACCUAUUUCCCUUUUCCCUGUUUGUGUAUUUGCUGAAUACUAAAAUACAAAGAAAACAAACAAAUAAAUAAAUAAGAAUUAUGAAAAAAAACUCCACUGUGAAGUUUACUUAAUCAAGGGGAAGUGAACUUCUGGGACCUUGGUGCAUUCACCAGAAGUUUAGCUAUAUAAUCAAAGCUAGUAGUAUAAUGUCGAUAAAUCACACGUUAUUUGUGCCUUGUCUUAAAAUUAAUGUCCCCAUUUCCAGGUAGAGAUAAAUAUACACAACACAGCCUGCGACAAAGAUGAUAUUGUGCAAAUUAAAUUCAUUUCCCCCAGAGAGAGUCUCUUUAAACGCAUGUUUGAACCUGGCUGGCAUCAUAUUUGAUCAUGCCGAUUCUGAGGUCUGUGAUGGAAAACCAUGUUUCUAUGGUUACUGCUACUGUAAUGUUUUGGGCCUGUGUAUCAGUGUAGCUUGUAAAUGUAAACUUGAGCUUGCAAUAAACAUAUUUAUGUUAAUAUUAUGUGCAAUACAUAGUACCAUAUUGAGCUGCCCUUUCAAAGGUUUUCUGAUUUUAGAAUUUUUUUUUUUAUAUCUUUGGACACCAUCAAAGAACUUUCUUUGGUUGAAAGAUGGACUCAAAUCACAUGUCUGUGACUUUCUUAUGGUACCACACUCCUGCCAAAAGGUCACAAUCUGUCUGUCACCUCUCCUAUGUAUGAGAAAGAAGAUGCGUGAUGGAAAGGAGGACAUUUUGAGUGACGUUCGCAGGAGAAUUGGCAUUUUUUGUUAAGUGUUUCUCACUCAGAAAGGUUGAAAAGAUGCUUUCUCUUGCAGUAUUUUGGUGUGCGAUGCAGCAGGUGGGCGAGCAGCACAGGAAGGAGCUCUUAUGUGGCGUAGCUGGCAGCACUGUGUGAAUGUCAAGCCAGGAAGGAGAGUGUGUGUGUGUGGAUUUCUGUGUGUGGGUGUGUUGGCGCAAGUGUGUGAGAAAGAGAAAGAGUUGAAAAAAUCCAGGCAUGUGCAAAAUAUUGUAUGUCUUUGCGUGAAUUAAAAGUAUGUGCACGCAUAAAAAGGAAAGCAUUUGUGUUACUUAGAGGAUGAGGGAUAAUAGUGAUGGCAGUACAGAAAAAAGGAAGGAGAGUGGUACAAGUGGUUGAUGGUUUUUCUAUAUAUAUGUGUGUGUGUGUGUGUGUGUGUGUGUGUGUGNNNNNNNNNNNNNNNNNNNNUAGUAGUGUGUAGUGUGUGUGUGUGUAUGUGUGUGUGUGUGUGUGUGUGUGUGUGUGUGUGUGUGUGUGUGUCAGGUCUCACUAGCUGUCAAUGAGUCACACUUCACAGCUCCAAUUACUGGUCUCUGCUCUGCUA